GAUGAACGCUAGCGGCAGGCUUAAUACAUGCAAGUCGUGGGGCAGCGCAGUGUAGCAAUACAUGGGCGGCGACCGGCAAACGGGUGCGGAACACGUACACAACCUUCCUUUUAGUGGAGCAUAGCCUAAGGAAACUUGGAUUAAUACUCCGUAACAUAAUGAAGUGGCAUCACUUUAUUAUUAUAGCAGCAAUGCGCUAGAAGACGGGUGUGCGGCUGAUUAGGUAGUUGGCGGGGUAACGGCCCACCAAGCCUACGAUCAGUAACUGGUGUGAGAGCACGACCAGUCACACGGGCACUGAGACACGGGCCCGACUCCUACGGGAGGCAGCAGUAAGGAAUAUUGGUCAAUGGACGAAAGUCUGAACCAGCCAUGCCGCGUGGAGGAUGAAGGCCCUCUGGGUUGUAAACUUCUUUUAUAUGGGACGAAAAAGGGACUUUCUAGUUCAACUGACGGUACCAUAGGAAUAAGCACCGGCUAACUCCGUGCCAGCAGCCGCGGUAAUACGGAGGGUGCAAGCGUUAUCCGGAUUCACUGGGUUUAAAGGGAGCGUAGGUGGGUUGAUAAGUCAGUGGUGAAAUCUUCGAGCUUAACUCGGAAACUGCCAUUGAUACUAUCAGUCUUGAAUAUUGUGGAGGUUAGCGGAAUAUGUCAU
rnacentral:rRNA from 1 species